AUGUACGCCUCGCAGUCUCGCUCCAGGAUCAUGCAGCUUAAGAGGCAGCUUACGCACGCCCAGAAAAAGGACAUGAACAUGGCUGAUUAUUUUGGCCAUGUCAAGGGUCUCGCUGACCAGCUUGCUGCGGCCGGCAGCCUCGUCUCCGAGACUGAUGUGAUCGACUACAUGUUCACAGGCCUUGAUAACUCGUACGACGCCCUCGUCACAUCGAUCAAUCUGCUGCUGGCCAACGGUGGCAUCUCUCUCGAUGAAGUGUACUCGCACAUGCUGGAUUACGAGGCGCGUCAAGACAAUGCCAACACCGGCUAUCAGUUGUCAGCCAAUCUUGCGGGACGAGGCAACGGCGCUCGAGGCGGCGGCAACGGUGGAGGUGGCUCCUCUGGCGGCAGCGGUGGCCGCAAUCGCAACAAUGAUGGCCGGAACCAGCAGGGAGGCAACCGUCGCAACGGCGGCAACAGCGGCGACGGCGGUAACUCUGCUGCAGGCAACGGCUCCAAUGGCCAACCAGCCGGCGGUCACCAAGGCGGCUACAACAGGAGGAACUCCAACUCCGAUCGUCCGCGGGUGCCAUGCCAAAUCUGCAACAAGCUCGGCCACUCUGCAAGGACCUGUUAUGAUCGCUACAACCACAACUCCCAGCAGGAGGAUGCACGUUUCGCCAACAACAUCUCUACCGGCUCUCCGGCACUUGACCCAGCGUGGUACAUGGACUCCGGCGCCACCGACCAUAUCACCGGCGACUUAGACAAGCUGCACAUGCGUGAGCAGUACACCGGCAAGGACCAAGUGCAUACAACAAAUGGAACUGGAUCGAGCUUCGAAGAGGGUUCUUCUUCACGGACCUAG
rnacentral:rRNA from 1 species